UACGGGGGGAGCAAGCGUUGUUCGGAUUUACUGGGCGUAAAGGGCGCGUAGGCGGUCAGCACAAGUCAGUUGUGAAAUCUCCGGGCUUAACUCGGAACGGUCAACUGAUACUGUGCGACUAGAGUGCAGAAGGGGCAACUGGAAUUCUCGGUGUAGCGGUGAAAUGCGUAGGAUAUCUGGAGGAAUACCGGUGGCGAAGGCGGCAUCCUGGACCGGCAUUGGACGCUGAGGAGCGAAAGCCAGGGGAGCAAACGGGG
rnacentral:rRNA from 1 species